rnacentral:rRNA from 1 species
CGCAAGGGGAGUGGCAGACGGGUGAGUAACACGUGGGAACCUUUCCCUAUAGUACGGAAUAGCCCAGGGAAACUUGGAGUAAUACCGUAUACGCCCGAAAGGGGAAAGAAUUUCGCUACAGGAUGGGCCCGCGUAGGAUUAGCUAGUUGGUGAGGUAAUGGCUCACCAAGGCGACGAUCCUUAGCUGGUUUGAGAGAACGACCAGCCACACUGGGACUGAGACACGGCCCAGACUCCUACGGGAGGCAGCAGUGGGGAAUAUUGGACAAUGGGCGAAAGCCUGAUCCAGCCAUGCCGCGUGAGUGAUGAAGGCCUUCGGG